rnacentral:rRNA from 1 species
CCGAGUUCCCUGGAACGGGACGCCAUAGAGGGUGAGAGCCCCGUCUGGUUGGAUGCCAAAUCUCUGUAAAGUUCCUUCAACGAGUCGAGUAGUUUGGGAAUGCUGCUCUAAAUGGGAGGUAUAUGUCUUCUAAAGCUAAAUACCGGCCAGAGACCGAUAGCGCACAAGUAGAGUGAUCGAAAGAUGAAAAGCACUUUGAAAAGAGAGUUAAAAAGUACGUGAAAUUGUUGAAAGGGAAGCGUUUAUGACCAGACUUGGNCUUGGNUAAUCAUCUGGGGNUCUCCCCAGUGCACUUUUCCAGUCCAGGCCAGCAUCAGUUUUCCCCGGNNNNAAAGGCGGCGNNAAUGUGGCUCUCUUCGNAGAGUGUUAUAGCCCACCGUGUAAUACCCUGNNGGGGACUGAGGGUCGCGCAUCUCCNAGGAUGCUG